ACUUAGGUACUGCCUUGCUUAGCUUCUUUGGGGUUCACUUUUUUUAAGUGUCUUUUUUUUUUAAUAUGGACCAUUUUUAAAGCCUUUAUUGAAUUUGUUAUAACACUGCUUCUGGUUAACGUUUGGCUUCCUGGCCAGGUGGCAUGCAGGAUCUUAACUCCUUGACCAGGUUCACACUUUAGCCAUAUUUCCCUAAUUUUUACCUAACGACUUUUUCCUAUUCCAGGAUGCCAUUCGAGACACCACAUUAGGGACUUGCCUGGUGGUCCAGUGGUUAAGAUGUAGCCUUCAAAUGCUGGGGAGCAUGGGUUCAAUCUCUGGUCAGGGAGCCAAGAUCCCAGAUGCCUCUAGCCCAAAAUAACAAAAGGUAAAACAGGAGCAAUAUUGUAACAAGUUCAAUAAAGACUUUUGAAAUGGCUCAUAUUAAAAAACGUUUUAAAAGGCACCACAUGAUGUUUUGUUAUUAUUAUGGAUUGCAUUUUUCUCCCCUCCCCCAUCCAAAUUCUUAUAUUGAAGCCUGAACUCUCAAGUUGAUAGUGUUUGGAGGUGGGGUCUUUGCAAGGUAACUAGGUUUAAUUGUGGAUACUAAGGUGGGGCCCUGUGGUGGGAUUAGUGCCCUUAUAGUAAGUGGGAGAGAGAGCAGAGUGCCCUCACUCUGGAUAAAGCAAGAAAGCUGCCUUCUGCUGUCUGGGAGCUGAAUCUUCAGCCGCACAAUCUUGUGCUUCCCAGUCUCCAAAACUGUGAGAAAUAGUCUGUUUCAGCCACCCAGCCUAUAGUAUUUUGUCUGCCAAGCAGACAAAAACAGUCAUCGUGUUUCCCUAGGCUCCGCUUGAGUCUGACAUUCUCCGUUUUCUUGUUUUUGAUGACCCUGACAGUUUUGAAGAGUAGCGGUCAGGCUUGAAGGGGAGUGGAAACAGUGCCAGGGAUGGUUCUCCUCAGAGCCCUACAGGGUCUGCCCAUACAGGAGUGUUCGUAUCCCCAGGAGGAAACUGGAUGAUGUGAACUUAAGGGGGAUCUUCCCAACCCAGGGAUCGAACCUGCACCUCCUGCAUUGCAGACAGAUUGUUUACUGCUGAGCCAGCCCGGAGAAGCCCCAUGCAAGGGACAUAAAGACUGAUAAAUGAGAGCCUACAUACAAAAAACCAUCCGGAGUGCCACUUCCUCCUUCUCCUCUUCCUCUUAUGCUGAGCACCCUCCUGGACUUGUUUGUGUAAGCCCCGAAGGUUUGCUUGCACUUUGGCACCAAACCGCUAAUGCUCCUAGACGCUAACACACUCCGAUGGCUACAGUUGCAUCAACUAGGAUCUGGGUUGGCAGCCAAACUAAGCUAAUGCACUGUGUCAUCACAGACUUCCCACACCACGGAGAAGGCACAGAAUGACUUGGAGACCUGGUCGCAGUUCCUGCUGCUAUUAGUCAUGGUGUGUUAGUGGAAUGCAAGCUCAAAAAACUAUUUCCUAAGUGCUUUCCAAGGACCUGGUUCCUCACACAGGUAGUUUUCGCCAACUGUAAUGACAGGGAGAAACUAGAGUGUCAGGGAGAACAGAAUUUAUGCUUUAUUUUGGAUCAGAUGUUCCUUAAAAAUAAAUCUCCACCUGAUCUUAAUUUUGACUUCAAUUCCAUAGACUGGUGAUCUGAGUGUUGAGGACAGAGAUCUUAGAAUCUGUUUAUAUGGUAUAAAUACAGAAAGGACUGGUUCUGAGUCGAAGGAUUAGAUCAACGUUUGAAUAUAAACUUAAAACCUAAGUCACAUGUUAUUUUUUGAAGCAUUGAAAUUGGUCUUUGCAAACGCCCUAAAUCCCUUUGAGAAACUUUAAAUAAGCACUGAGUUUUCUUGCCAUAAAGUUCUGCACUUCAUCUAGAAAGCCUCUUUUAGAAAAAUAUCUCUGAAAACCUGAAGCUGGCAAAGAAGCUGGAUAAGUUGAAAGGGAAAUGAUAGAAAAUUCUGGUUUGCAGUAAAGGGGAACAAAGG